rnacentral:rRNA from 1 species
AGGACGAACGCUUGCGACGUGCCUAAGAAAUGCAAGUCGAACGGACCAGCAGCAAUGCUGGUUAGUGGCGAACGGUCGCGUAACACGUGGGCAACCUGCCCUGAAGCGGGGGACAACAACUCGAAAGAGUUGCUAAUACCGCAUGUGUAUCGCUGUGGCAUCACAGAGGAUACAAAGCCGCAAGGCACUUCAGGAUGGGCCCGCGGCCUAUCAGCUUGUUGGUGAGGUAACGGCUCACCAAGGCUUCGACGGGUAGCUGGUCUGAGAGGACGAUCAGCCGGAUUGGGACUGAGAUACGGCCCAGACUCCUACGGGGGGCAGGCAAUUAGGAAUCUUGCACAAUGGGCGAAAGCCUGAUGCAGCGACGUCGCGUGAAGGAUGAAAUCUUUCGGGAUGUAAACUUCUUUACCAGGGAAGAAUAAUGACGGUACCUGGUGAAUAAGCCCCGGCUAACUACGCGCCAGCAGCCGCGGU